rnacentral:rRNA from 1 species
GAUGAACGCUAGCGGCAGGCUUAAUACAUGCAAGUUGAGGGGCAGCAUGAUAUACGCGAGUAUAUUGAUGGCGACCGGCGGACGGGUGAGUAAUAGGUAGGAGACCUACCUCAUACAGGGGGAUAGCAUAGAGAAAUCUGUGGUAAUACCCCAUGAGGUUAUAUGAAUAGAGGCAUAUAAUCAAAGCAUAAGUGAUUAUGCGGUAUGAGAGGGGCCUACUGACCAUUAGCUAGUUGGUGAGGUAAGGGCUCACCAAGGCGAAGAUGGUUAGGGUUUUGAGAGAGAGACCCCCACACUUGGAACUGAGAGACGGUCCAGACUCCUACGGGAGGCAGCAGUAGGGAAUAUUGGGCAAUGGGCGAAAGCCUGACCCAGCCAUGCCGCGUGCAGGAAGACGGCCCUAUGGGUUGUAAACUGCUUUUCCAGGGAAGAAACUUACGCACGUGUUGCGUGACUGACGGUACCCUGGGAAUAGCAUCGGA